AUGGCCGAGCUGCCCAUCACCUAUCUUGGCAUUCCACUUACGCUGCGACGCCCCUCCGCCACCCAGUUACAGCCCCUCGUCGAUUCCGUGGCUGCUAGGCUCCCUGCAUGGAAGGCAUGGCUCAUGAACAAGGCCGGAAGACUAGCACUGGUCAAAUCGGUGCUCUCAGCCAUCCCGGUCCACCAAAUGCUUGCAUUUGCCCCACCCAAGAAGACGCUCAAGCAGCUGGAAAAGAUCCAACGAGGCUUCCUAUGGGCUGGACGCGCAACAGCCAACGGUGGACACUGCCAUGUCAACCGGCGCCAUGUGUGCCGGCCGUUGGAGCACGGCGGCUUGGGGAUUCGGGACCUGGAGCGUGCCGGCCUAGCGCUGAGGCUGCGAUGGCUAUGGUACGCGCACACGGACGACGACCGCGCUUGGCAAGGGCUCGACCUCCAAUUCUCUAGAGAGGAGCGCGCGCUAUUCGUCGCCUCCACCACCAUGGUCCUUGGGGAUGGAGCGACGGCCCUGUUCUGGGAAGAUCGAUGGCUACAUGGACAGUAA
rnacentral:rRNA from 1 species